GAUGAACGCUGGCGGCGUGCUUAACACAUGCAAGUCGAACGAUGAAGCCCAGCUUGCUGGGUGGAUUAGUGGCGAACGGGUGAGUAACACGUGAGUAACCUGCCCUUAACUCUGGGAUAAGCCUGGAAAACUGGGUAUAAUACCGGAUAGGAGCGUCCACCGCAUGGUGGGUGUUGGAAAGAUUUAUCGGUUUUGGAUGGACUCGCGGCCUAUCAGCUUGUUGGUGAGGUAAUGGCUCACCAAGGCGACGACGGGUAGCCGGCCUGAGAGGGUGACCGGCCACACUGGGACUGAGACACGGACCAGACUCCUACGGGAGGCAGCAGUGGGGAAUAUUGCACAAUGGGCGAAAGUCUGAUGCAGCGACGCCGCGUGAGGGAUGACGGCCUUCGGGUUGUAAAACUCUUUCAGUAGGGAAGAAGCGAAAGUGACGGUACCUGCAGAAGAAGCACCGGCUAACUACGUG
rnacentral:rRNA from 1 species